AUUAUACUUGAAUGAUCAAUUCUAUACGUCAUACAUCUGUUUCCAUUGACACAAUGGAGACACACACCUCAAUCUGGAUGAUGGGAUGAUGCCACAUAACCAAAGUGUGAAUAGUUACUGUGCAUGCGAAGGCCACCAUCAACCAUAGAGGAUCGCUCUCACAGAGCCAAUGGCUGAUGAGAUACCUUUGUGGCAGUUUGAUAGAUC
rnacentral:snoRNA from 1 species